rnacentral:rRNA from 1 species
UGCGUAGGCGGGCUAAUAAGUCAGUGGUGAAAUCCUGCGGCUCAACCGUAGAACUGCCAUUGAUACUGAUAUUCUUGCAUGUAGUUGAGGUAGGCGGAAUGUGUAAUGUAGCGGUGAAAUGCUUAGAUAUUACACAGAACACCGAUUGCGAAGGCAGCUUACUAAACUAUGAUUGACGCUGAGGCACGAAAGCGUGGGGAGCGAACAGGAUUAGAUACCCUGGUAGUCC